rnacentral:lncRNA from 1 species
CCAAACCCGUUAAAAACUUUAUAUUUAAGGUUUGCAUUAAAAUUUCCAUGUGGCAGCUUGGAAUUAGAGAGAUGAGGAAGGCAAGGUGUGGGUCAUGUGAUCGUUGGAGGAGGCUGAAGGUAUGACUAAUUCGGUUAACGUAGUCGCAUGCUGAUUGGUUUUCAAAGAUUUUUCAUUUGAAUCAUGUGGUUGGAGCUCCUUUGAUGGUACGUCAAAGCAUGAUAAAGUGGUAGAAAUUGAUUUGUUGACUUCUCAAAAGGUGGAAUGAGGUGAUGUUGGAGUGUGAGAGGGGAUGGU